rnacentral:rRNA from 1 species
UGGGGAAUAUUGGACAAUGGGCGAAAGCCUGAUCCAGCCAUGCCGCGUGAGUGACGAAGGCCUUAGGGUUGUAAAACUCUUUCGUCGGGGACGAUAAUGACGGUACCCGAAGAAGAAGCUCCGGCUAACUUCGUGCCAGCAGCCGCGGUAAUACGAAGGGAGCUAGCGUUGUUCGGAAUCACUGGGCGUAAAGCGCACGUAGGCGGAUAGUUAAGUCAGGGGUGAAAUCCUGGGGCUCAACCCCAGAACUGCCUUUGAUACUGGCUGUCUCGAGGUCGAGAGAGGUUGGUGGAAUUCCUAGUGUAGAGGUGAAAUUCGUAGAUAUUAGGAAGAACACCAGUGGCGAAGGCGGCCAACUGGCUCGAUACUGACGCUGAGGUGCGAAAGCGUGGGGAGCAAACAGGAUUAGAUACCCGGGUAGUCCCUGAGCGGGCUGGCAAGGCGCAU